GUGUUAUAAGGAAGGAGAGAAAGUUAGCACUCCCCUUGACACAAUCGGACAACACAUAUACCCUCAAGGUACUGUCGCACUUGCGGCACCUUGCACAUUUUCU